rnacentral:ncRNA from 1 species
CAACCCACACAGUGAUGUGUGACUGAACUGUCAGAAGUCAGCAGAGGCCAUAGUACUGCAGUGGAUGCAUACACUGCAGGAAGGGC